UACGGGGGGGGCAAGCGUUGUUCGGAAUUACUGGGCGUAAAGGGCUCGUAGGUGGCCAACUAAGUCGGACGUGAAAUCCCUCGGCUUAACCGGGGAACUGCGUCUGAUACUGGAUGGCUUGAGUUCGGGAGAGGGAUGUGGAAUUCCAGGUGUAGCGGUGAAAUGCGUAGAUAUCUGGAGGAACACCGGUGGCGAAGGCGGCAUCCUGGACCGGUAUUGACGCUGAGGAGCGAAAGCCAGGGGAGCAAACGGG
rnacentral:rRNA from 1 species